GCCGGACGUGGUGGCGCACACCUGUAAUCCCUGCGACUCGGGAGGCUGAGGCCGGAGGAUCACAAGUUUGAGACCAGCUUCAG
rnacentral:sRNA from 1 species